GACUUUUGUAACUAUCUGAAAAUUUACGAGUGGGAAGCGACUUAUUACAGUCUUCCUCAACUGCACUUGUCUCUUUCAGCAGGAAAUUGGAGCGGGCAACCUUACAGAGAAAGAAGAGAGAGAGAAAAGAUUCCUGCAGCUAACUUCUGCUCCAUCUUACCAUGCAACAUUCCUGGAACUACUCACCAGACAUCGGAUA